rnacentral:rRNA from 1 species
GACGUAGGGGGCCAGCGUUGUUCGGAAUUACUGGGUGUAAAGGGUUCGUAGGCGGUGUGGCAAGUCGGGAGUGAAAUCUCUGGGCUCAACCCAGAGGCUGCUUCCGAAACUGCUGUGCUUGAGUGUGGGAGAGGCGCGUGGAAUUGCAGGUGUAGCGGUGGAAUGCGUAGAUAUCUGCAGGAACACCCGUGGCGAAAGCGGCGCGCUGGACCACUACUGACGCUGAAGAACGAAAGCUAGGGGAGCAAACAGG